rnacentral:rRNA from 1 species
UACGAAGGGGGCUAGCGUUGCUCGGAAUUACUGGGCGUAAAGGGAGCGUAGGCGGGUUAUCAAGUUGGAGGUGAAAGCCCAGGGCUCAACCUUGGAAUUGCCUUCAAAACUGAUAGCCUAGAGUAUGAUAGAGGUAUGUGGAACUCCGAGUGUAGAGGUGAAAUUCGUAGAUAUUCGGAAGAACACCGGUGGCGAAGGCGGCCUGCUGGGCUAUGGCUGACACUGAGGCGCGACAGCGUGGGGAGCAAACAGG